AAAACUAACUACUAUUUAUUAUUUAAUUUACUUAUUUUUUUGUUUGUCUUUUUAUUUUGUAUUAUUGCGAGUGAAUUCAGUGUUAAACGUUAACACUGAAAUUAAAAGUGUUGAUAAAUUUAUUGCCUAUUAACGCUGACGCAAUAUUUAACUAAAUAAAUUAAAGGUCAAAUGUGUUCAAGUAACAAUGAGUAUGAUGAGAAAGUAUUGACAUCACAGUAACAGGUCUUUGGCAAGGCAUGAUGACAGCUAAUGAAAUCAUGCACAGACAUCUCAUUAGUUUCAAGCGGCAAAAACAUAUGGAAAAGUCAUGAGGGUAAAAAGAAAACUUCCACUCAAGUGACACACUGGCAAGCCGCAACAAGCAUCUGACCGCAAUUAGCGCGUCACAACUCACCAAACAGCCGUACGGAAGUAUGGAGUAACAUGUGAGAAGGGGGGAGGGGGCACUUUGUGGUUUUGAGACAUGACUUAUUGCAUCAUUUGAAUUAAUGUGUGUAUAAUAUUAAAUAUUUGAUUUACAUGAUAUUCAACUGUAUCAAUAACCAAUUAAAAUAAUCAUUCAAAUAAAUAAAUGCAAACAAUGUUUUCAAGUACUUUAAAGAAAUGGAGAGAAUCAGGAGUUCAUUCAUUAACAUCAACAGUUUUCCGAAACGAACCAGGAGAGAAUAAACUCAAAUGAUGAUUCAAUCUCCUUUCCUGAAAGCUGUUAUCAGUUGGGAAAUAUCCGGAAAAUAGCCAGAAAAGUUGAUUCAACUCUGACUGGACAGGUUCAUCAAUCUAACUGGGCUCAUGUCCAUGACCCAGAUGUUUUCUUUUAAAAACAAAACUAGAAUUAGUUGAUCUGCACCCUGAUUUAUAAGUGGUGGAUUACAUGUUACUUUUAUGUAGAAAAACAAACCGAGGAGAUAAGGAGGAUGAUUAAAAUCUGUCUAUGAGAUAUCAAGGGGUUUUGGUCAUUAAUAAUAUAUAACUUUUAUAUCUAGAGCAGGAUAGUUGAUACAGACACACACACACACACACGCAUGCACACACAAACAUGUGCAAGAGGAAACACUCAUUGUAUCAGAGAGGAAGUAUUAUGAAAUCACGUGGAUAUUGGGAUAUUCCCUAACUUCCAUUGUUGUAAUUAAUGAUUACAAAAUAAAUUCUAUAGUCCAUAAUUUCAACUCAAGACAUGUAAUUGAUGGUCAAAUGUCAAAUUUACACUGGUGUCUUUAUAUUUAAAAUAUGUUUAUAAUUGCAAAAGUGUAAUUAUUGCUAUGCACUUGAUACACAGGGAAUGAUAUAUAUAACGCAUAUGUGUGUGUAUAUGUAUAUAGAUAUAAAAAUAUAUACACACACACAUAUAUAUAUAUAUAUGAGCAAAGUCUGCUGUGUCUUUAAUAAGAUUCAGCCUCACAGAACUAAUUAAAUCACAUGAUUUACAUUCUAGGUGUUGGCAUUUGAACCCUGAUCCUGACAAUACACUGAGAUAAAACACUGGGAAAGCCUGAAGUGAAUCACUGCUGUGUCACCACACAGUUUUCCUUAAUGCUUUGACAGUAAUGCUUGAGUAGAGGGGACAGAGUAUAAACACAUUCCAUGUUUGCAAACAAUGAGUUUCACUCCAGACUCUUUUGAGUGCGUUAACAAUACACACAAGACAAACUACAACAGUCAGGAGCUACCAGAAGCUGAAGGUUUCUGGAAAUGCUGGGGAGUUUUUUGUUGAACAAUACAAACACAUAGAUCCAAAGGGUAUCUAUGAAAUAGCAUUCCUGGUGUUUGGAAUAGCAUUUUAUUCUCAUGCCAGGACAAGCUCACAGGCUGAAAAAAAGAAAAACUCAAGCCUGAGAAACAGCUUUAGAACACAUGGACAUUUCUGUCAUACAACCAACAACUACAAAAACAAUUUCCAAAAAAGAUCCACUUCCAAAAACGCAGUUGAUGUCUGCUUCACACUCCAAAACAGAAAAGACUAAAAAUGUUAAACAACAACACUUGGAGUGUCCUAAAACAACAAUUGGACUAGUAACCGGUUGGGAUAUUAGUACUGGGUAUAAAUAAAAAUAGCCAACACAUUCUCAUUUAUAGUGAACAUGGAUGGGUCAUGGCUCCUCAGUUUUGUUCACCUUUUGGUAUAUUCACUGAAAUCACUGUGUUCAGCACACAAUUUUCUAAAUAUAUAUAUAUAAUAUAUAUAUAUAUUAUAUAUAUAUUAUAUGUAUAUCCUUGAUGACAACUCUUCACACAGGAAAUCUACAGAUUUUUAUUUCAAACAUUUGAGUUUCGUUCAUGUAGAGUCUAUGCACAUGACUGACUGACCCUAAGCCAAUUUGCAGAUCAGUCUCCAAUUAAAAAAUGUCUGGUACAUCAUGAAGAAAAAAAUCAUACAAAGAUGACCAAUUCACUGUAUAGAAUUUAGGAUCAAUACAGUUUAAUCUAAUCUAAUCUGAUCUAAUAUCAAGGCUUUUGUAAGAAUGGGCAAAAAUGUCACUUGCAUUUUUCACAAUUCCCAGAUAAAAUGACAUUUGAUGUGACUCAGUGGUACAUUUGCCUCUGUCUCAACCUUCUGCGUUGUGUUGCAUUCAUUUGUAAAUGAGAUCAUGUUUAAUAAUUGGAAACAACUUAACAAUAAAAACUGCAUCAGUUUAUCUGCCUGAUGUACAGUAUCAAAGUCAAAAUCAAAAGUUUGUAAUUAUGUUUGGUGCUCGCAUCACCCCCACAAUUGUUUUGUUUGUUUGUUUGGUUGUUUUGUUUUGUUGUUUUGUUUUGUUUAUUUCUAUCCACUCUUAUAUUUGUGUUUAGUUAAUUCGUUGGUAAGGUAGUUUGUGAGUUAGUUAGUUAGUAAGUUUGAGAUUUAGUUAUUCACUGAUCAUAUAAACUAUAUGAAUUGAGGAAGUAUCUUGAAUUAUUGGAGCAAACCCACAACUGGGGUAAAGAAAAUCGAAUGAGCGCCCUCGUGUGGUUAUCAGUGGUAAGUGAAUAUACGGUGAACUUUGAAGUCAAAGCCGGGGAAAACAACCCUAAAGGAAGUUGACCUCCAGUCAUUUGUUAAUCCAGAAUGAAGUGACACGAGCAGAAAACAAGCAGAAGCGAAAUUUUUCUGUGGUUUUCCAAUGUUUCUUAAGGUCACAAAAAGAGGAUGUUUUAAACUGCUGAAACAUCCAAAUAAAAUAAAUACAUGGAAUAAUAGUGAGGACUUCACAUAGCCAUAGUCUAUGCCUAGUCCCUCACUCCAACCAUAACCAUUACAAAUGUAGCCGUAAUUCUCAUUCUAACAUCAAACUAAAUACACAUUGUCCUAGUAGGAACCUGAAAUUGUCCUGAUAGGAUUGAACCACUCCCCAAUAAAAAGGCAUUUUACCAAAAAAAAGUCCCCAAAAUUAAAACUACACUUUGACCACACACACACAUUUUACAUUUUUUAGUGUUGCGGUUACAUUUUUCUUUUAAUAAAACAUUUUUUUUUUAAAUUGAUCUUAAUUAAUCCCACACUGGGGAAACAUCAGAUCUGCUGUAACAGGCCACCCUCGGAGGCACCAAGUAUGCAGUUCCUCUGGGAGUCGAACCCAGGACUCUCCGCAUGUAAGGCAGAUGAGUGAGCAGGUGGGAUAACCACUACACAAGAGAAGUAACACCAAACUCGCUUAGCAUACUAAAAAAAAAAAUUGAAAUGAAAAAAAAAUUGGUUUAAAAAGGAAACUUGCUUAAGAGCUUGCUUUUUGCAGAAAUGUGAUGAAUAACUUCACCCCUAGUGGUUUGCUGAUAGCCUUCCGAGAUAAAAUUCUUCAGAAAACCUUGCAGGGAGGGAAAUGUGAACUGAGGACACCACCUUCAGGAGUUUCAUCACAAACUGACACAUACUGUGUAUAAAUACUUAGAAGAUCUGUGCUGUACACAGUUUACUGACUGGCACUGAUGAUCUAAAUCUGCAGAUAUGUCUUUUUCUUCUGCAAUCACUGUUGUGGCACUUCUGUAUCUGCUGGCCAUACCUGAAGGUUUCAACCUGAGGUUGCCUGGAGUGCCUCUGCGAUGCCGUUGUCCCUCCAAGAGUAGAACAUAUAUUGCAGGUGCUAUAGGAUGGCUAGAGAUUAAUUGUCCCACCUCAUACUGCAGUGACACUGAGUACAUUGCUCACCUAAAUUAUACUGGAGCAAGAGUUUGUCUGGAUCCCAACACUAAAUGGUUCAAACAAGUGCUUAAGCAACUACGGUCCAUGAACCAGACAUGUUGAGGAGUGACUCUCAAAGAACUGGAAUCAGACGACCAUAUUUUGUGUACUGAUGGAAGCUACAGAUGGACGCAUUCAUGAAUCAUUUUCAAUCACUUUGUUCAAUCUCU